AAUGAACGCUGGCGGCAUGCCUUACACAUGCAAGUCGAACGGCAGCAUGACCUAGCUUGCUAGGUUGAUGGCGAGUGGCGAACGGGUGAGUAAUGCAUCGGAACGUGCCUUUUAGUGGGGGAUAACGUAGCGAAAGUUACGCUAAUACCGCAUAUUCUCUGAGGAGGAAAGCAGGGACCUUCGGGCCUUGCGCUAGAAGAGCGGCCGAUGUCGGAUUAGCUAGUUGGUGAGGUAAAGGCUCACCAAGGCAACGAUCCGUAGCGGGUCUGAGAGGAUGAUCCGCCACACUGGGACUGAGACACGGCCCAGACUCCUACGGGAGGCAGCAGUGGGGAAUUUUGGACAAUGGGCGCAAGCCUGAUCCAGCCAUGCCGCGUGAGUGAAGAAGGCCUUCGGGUUGUAAAGCUCUUUCGGCUGGGAAGAAAUCGCACCCUCUAAUACAGGGUGUGGAUGACGGUACCAGCAUAAGAAGCACCGGCUAACUACGU
rnacentral:rRNA from 1 species